UCAUCUAUUAGUUGUGAAAAAAACGAGAUUCAACGGGUUUUAUCUUCUUCCCACCUCUCUUCUCGCUCUCCCGAAUUACAAAAUUCAGGUCUCCCACAACCAUCCAUGGCAGAUUUACAGAGUCUGCAAGAGUCCUACAAUAAUUUCAACUCGUGUUUUUUGACUUUAUAAGGACAACCAUACAUUGCAGAUAGAAGCCAAUCAAAUUUUCUGGAUCUAUCCGAGAUUAGGACAUCUAUUUGACUAUCAGAGCUAUGAAUUAGUUGCAUCGAGACAUUAAUGGAACAAACCAACACCAUUCCACCUACGGUUUUGAUGGUAUGCAUCUGAAGUCUCUCACUGCUAAGCUCCAUAUCUCCAUCAGCAGAAGGUGGGAAUAGGAGACUCGAUGGUAAUUCAAUGAAAGGCACAUGGUCCAGAAGGAUCGAAUUGGAUGGGAUGGCUGAGGGUAGAGGUUGAGAGUUGGAUUGGUUGGAGAUGCAGAGACAAGUAACUGAGAUUGGCAUUUAUUUUGAAGAGUGUUGAAUUUGGGACAACUGGAUGGUCACAGGAUGUCUCUUGGUUCUUUAGCAUGAGUUGGUGUGGGAGUUUUAGUUCAGGGUGAAGUUCAAAAUCCAUUCUUAUGACCUUUUCCUUCAUCUUUCUUUGCUUUUUCUUGGUGAUUUUUAACAUUGCCAUCAUAAGAGCCUUUUCAUAUCUAGUCUUGAGAAUUUUAGUUGAAAGUUGUGUAUUCAUUCUUCUCUUUCUCAAUUUGGUUUUCCUUGUCACAGAGCUAAAUUUCUUAGGUUGCUGGAGAGGCCCAGAAUUGCGAUCCCCUCCACUUGAUGAUGUCAUUUCCACUAGGUUCUUCUUGAGUACAUUCUUCUCCUGACUAUCUAUAUUCACGCCUCCAGAGCUAAUUGACAAUUUUAAUUUUUUUUAUUUUCUUUUCUGUUGGUUUUUGAAGGCCUCGAAAUGAUAAUAUUUUUUGGCCGAGGCACAUUCGAUGGUAAGAGUUGUCUCCUCUUUUGUUCCUAGGUAGUAUACCACUUCUUCUCCCCCUUCAGAUUAUUUUCCUUUGCCUUUGUUUCUCUGAGUUUUGUCAAGUGCGUACUUUCCUUGAAUCAUUUGUAACUGAAUUCUUUGUGUCGAUUUGGUGGCCUUUCUGAAUUUUUCAAAUCCUGGAGGAGGCUCAUCAAAUGAUGCAGGAU